AGGGCUAUGUGUAACUGGCGAACGCGGAUUACCGCGAGGGAGCACAUAGUUUAUAAGCCGUUCGCCUGGGCAGAGGUA
rfam:Bacilli bacterium VT-13-104 contig079, whole genome shotgun sequence.